GUGCUUGCUUUGGCAGCACAUACACUAAAAUUGAAACAACACUGAGAGGAUUAGCAUUGGCUCCUGUACAAGGGUGACAUGCAAAUUCAUGAAGCGUUCCAUAUUAAA
rnacentral:snRNA from 1 species